rnacentral:sRNA from 1 species
UCCUGUUGACGUCCCGUUAAAUAUAAAUACUGCUCUUUUACAUAG